GGUGCGGAACGCGUAUGGAACCUACCUUUAUCAGGGGGAUAGCCCAUGGAAACGUGGAUUAAUACCCCAUAGUAUUACAUCAUUGCAUGAUGAUUUAAUUAAAGAAUUUCGGAUAGAGAUGGCCAUGCGUAUCAUUAGCUAGUAGGCGAGGUAACGGCUCACCUAGGCGACGAUGAUUAGGGGUCCUGAGAGGGAGAUCCCCCACACUGGUACUGAGACACGGACCAGACUCCUACGGGAGGCAGCAGUGAGGAAUAUUGGGCAAUGGAGGCAACUCUGACCCAGCCAUGCCGCGUGCAGGAAGACGGCCCUAUGGGUUGUAAACUGCUUUUAUACAGGAAGAACACCACCCACGUGUGGGUGACUGACGGUACUGUAAGAAUAAGGACCGGCUAACUCCGUGCCAGCAGCCGCGGUAAUACGGAGGGUCCAAGCGUUAUCCGGAAUCAUUGGGUUCAAAGGGUCCGUAGGCGGGCUAAUAAGUCAGAGGUGAAAGUUUGCAGCUCAACUGUAAAAUUGCCUUUGAUACUGUUAGUCUUGAGUUAUAGUGAAGUGGUUAGAAUAAGUGGUGUAGCGGUGAAAUGCAUAGAUAUCACUUAGAAUACCGAUUGCGAAGGCAGAUCACUAACUGUAUACUGACGCUGAGGGACGAAAGCAUGGGUAGCGAACGGGAUUAGAUACCCCGGUAGUCCAUGCUGUAAACGAUGGAUACUAGCUGUUGG
rnacentral:rRNA from 1 species